rnacentral:rRNA from 1 species
UAGGGAAUCUUCGGCAAUGGGGGCAACCCUGACCGAGCAACGCCGCGUGAGUGAAGAAGGUUUUCGGAUCGUAAAGCUCUGUUGUAAGAGAAGAACGAGUGUGAGAGUGGAAAGUUCACACUGUGACGGUAACUUACCAGAAAGGGACGGCUAACUACGUGCCAGCAGCCGCGGUAAUACGUAGGUCCCGAGCGUUAUCCGGAUUUAUUGGGCGUAAAGCGAGCGCAGGCGGUUAGAUAAGUCUGAAGUUAAAGGCUGUGGCUUAACCAUAGUACGCUUUGGAAACUGUUUAACUUGAGUGCAGAAGGGGAGAGUGGAAUUCCAUGUGUAGCGGUGAAAUGCGUAGAUAUAUGGAGGAACACCAGUGGCGAAAGCGGCUCUCUGGUCUGUAACUGACACUGAGGCUCGAAAGCGUGGGGAGCAAACAGGAUUAGAUACCCUGGUAGUCCACGCCGUAAACGAUGAGUGCUAGGUGUUGGGUCCUUUCCGGGACUCAGUGCCGCAGCUAACGCAUUAAGCACUCCGCCUGGGGAGUACGACCGCAAGGUUG